UACGGGGGGGGCAAGCGUUGUUCGGAAUUACUGGGCGUAAAGGGCUCGUAGGCGGCAAACUAAGUCAGACGUGAAAUCCCUCGGCUUAACUGAGGAACUGCACAGGAUACUGCGAGACUUGAGUUCGGGAGAGGGAAGCGGAAUUCCGGGUGUAGCGGUGAAAUGCGUAGAUAUCCGGAGGAACACCGGUGGCGAAGGCGGCUUCCUGGACCGACACUGACGCUGAGGCGCGAAAGCUAGGGGAGCAAACGGG
rnacentral:rRNA from 1 species